AUCCUCUCCAACAUUUGUUUCCUGCCCUGUUAAUUUUGGUCAUUUUAGCUGGUGUAAGGUGGUAUCUCAAUGUGGUUUUGAUUUGAAUCCCUAAUGGCUAAUAAUGAUGAACAUUUUUUCAUGUGCCUGUUGGCUAUUUGUAUUUCUUCU